CACCGCGGUUAUACGAGAGGCCCGAGUUGAUAAACACCGGCGUAAAGUGUGGUUAGGAAUUUUCCCUCUAAAGUAAAACACCCCCAGAACUGUUAUACGCUCCCGGGGGCAGGAAGCCCAACAACGAAAGUGACUUUAAACCUCCGACUCCACGACAGCUACGACA
rnacentral:rRNA from 1 species